GACGAACGCUGGCGGCGUGCUUAACACAUGCAAGUCGAACGGAAAGGCCCUGCUUUUGUGGGGUGCUCGAGUGGCGAACGGGUGAGUAACACGUGAGUAACCUGCCCUUGACUUUGGGAUAACUUCAGGAAACUGGGGCUAAUACCGGAUAGGAGCUCCUGCUGCAUGGUGGGGGUUGGAAAGUUUCGGCGGUUGGGGAUGGACUCGCGGCUUAUCCGCUUGUUGGUGGGGUAGUGGCUUACCAAGGCUUUGACGGGUAGCCGGCCUGAGAGGGUGACCGGCCACAUUGGGACUGAGAUACGGCCCAGACGCCUACGGGAGGCAGCAGUGGGGAAUAUUGCAGAAUGGGCGGAAGCCUGAUGCAGCAACGCCGCGUGCGGGAUGACGGCCUUCGGGUUGUAAACCGCUUUCGCCUGUGACGAAGCGUGAGUGACGGUAAUGGGUAAAGAAGCACCGGCUAACUACGUG
rnacentral:rRNA from 1 species